UACGUAGGGGGCUAGCGUUGUCCGGAAUCAUUGGGCGUAAAGCGCGUGUAGGCGGUCCGAUAAGUCCGCUGUGAAAGUCGAGGGCUCAACCCUCGAAUGCCGGUGGAUACUGUCGGGCUUGAGUACGGGAGAGGCGAGUGGAAUUCCUGGUGUAGCGGUGAAAUGCGCAGAUAUCAGGAGGAACACCGAUGGCGAAGGCAGGUCUCUGGGCCGAUACUGACGCUGAGGAGCGAAAGCGUGGGGAGCGAACAGG
rnacentral:rRNA from 1 species